rnacentral:rRNA from 1 species
ACGAAGGUCCCGAGCGUUAUUCGGAAUCACUGGGCGUAAAGGGAGCGUAGGCGGCGCGGUAAGUCAGAUGUGAAAUCUGGGGGCUCAACCCCCAAACUGCAUUCGAUACUGCCGUGCUAGAGUAAUGGAGGGGUAACUGGAAUUCUCAGUGUAGCAGUGAAAUGCGUAGAUAUUGAGAGGAAGACCAAUGGCGAAAGCAGGUUACUGGACAUUUACUGACGCUGAGGCUCGAAGGCUAGGGGAGCAAAAGGGAUUAGAUACCCCUGUAGUCCUAGCAGUAAACGAUGUGCGCUUGGUGUGGGAGGGUUCGACCCCUUCUGUGCCGGAGCUAACGCGUUAAGCGCACCGCCUGGGGAGUACGGUCGCAAGACUAAAACUCAAAGAAAUUGACGGGGACCCGCACAAGCGGUGGAGUAUGUGGCUUAAUUCGAUGCAACGCGAAGAACCUUACCUAGGCUUGACAUGUAUCGCUAAGCUGCCGAAAAGCAGUGAGCCUUCGGGCGCUUUACACA